GUUACAAGUUGCCCAGUCACCCCGGCUUCUGAGAUGAAGAAUAUUAUUGAAGUCAAAUCUGGUGGCUAUCACACUCCAUGGAACUUGGGGCAACAUUUAGGUACCUCUACCCAGGAAAGAAUCUCUGAGAAAUAGGUGGCAGUUUCUCUAGCAGCAUAAGAAGAACCUUGAUAAGCAUCAUCCUUAAGUCCUGACAGCAGUGGAUGACUAGUCAGGAACCUGUCCAGGAAUAUCCAGCACAAUAAGCAUUGAAGAAACAAAUGGCAACGCAAGCUUAAAGAAUUCCAAGCCAUUAUGAACUGACUCUUCAAAUAAGUGCUUAUUUUCACAUAACCAGGGAGUUUCUGGAUUAACUUCCAUAUAAGACAUAUUUAUUAAAAGAUUUGCACCCCUAUUGCUGGCACUGGGUGGACCUCCCCAAACGCUCUGCCCUUGGUGCUCUUCUGCCGGUUAUUCUCGUCCAUGACCCCAGAGCCAGGGAGAAUCUCACCAGUGCAGCCCAGGGCACUUCUGAUAACAUCUGAGCAGAGUGAAGGAGAAGAAACGCACG
rnacentral:lncRNA from 10 species